rnacentral:rRNA from 1 species
AUUGCACGCUGGCGGCAGGCCUAACACAUGCAAGUCGAGCGAGCGGCGGACGGGUGCGUCAUGUAUGGGGACUGCCCGAUCGAGGGGGAUAACUACUGGAAACGGUGGCUAAUACCGCAUACUCGCGUAUCACCCAUAUGGGAUUCGCUAGUAGGUGGGGUAAAGGCUCACGUGGGCGACGACCUCUCGCUGGUCUGAGAGGAUGAUCAGCCACACUGGGACUGCGACACGGCCCAGACGCCUACGGAGGCAGCAGUGGGGAAUAUUGCACAAUGGGCGCAAGCCUGAUGCAGCCAUGCCGCGUGUAUGAAGAAGGCCUUAGGGUUGUAAAGUACUUUCAGCGGGGAGGCGUUACCCGCAGAAGAAGCACCGGCUAACUCCGUGCCAGCCGCCGCGGUAAUAC